CGCAGCUGUCAUGCUGAGAGAAAAGAAAGCAGCUAUAUGAUGAACUCUGGUGAAUUCCGGUGACGGUGGACAGAAGAGAAGAUAAGUGACCUGAUCCUUGCAGUUAAAUCCUUUUCUGCUGUGAUUUUCUCCGGUUGGUUUGUUUUUAGGACCACAUUCAACUUGGAACAUUGUCCAGCUGCACACCACCGCUGGCCUGGAUUGGAUGUGCUGGAGCUCCAGGUUUCAACCCAAGACCUGGGACCUGCUGGAUCCGCUGCCUGCUUUGCACUGGAUUAAGAUAAGAUUUUGGAUCCAAAGAAACACAUGGCCAUUGAAUUUUGACAAAGACUUGAGUGACUGACUUAAAUUUCAAAUACUGAACUAAAGAAAGGAACUGAACAAUAAGAAAUCUGGACUAAAAGAAAUCACACUACCUGAUAUAGUAAGCGUGGACACUUUCUGUUGAAAGAAAAUGUUACAAUAAUGUUCUGUUUAAUUUUGCAUUAAGCAGUCUGUUCAUUUUUCUUGACAAUAUGUUUGUUUGUGCUUAUUAUCCUCCUUUUUGAACUUAGCAAGAAGACUCAUUGUAACUACAACACUUGAAAUCUAAAUUUCUCAAUUUAUCUGUUCGUAAGUUACACAAAUUGGUUACAUAAGCAUUACUGUACCUUGAAAAAAAUGUUUAAAAAGCCCAAUUGGUCACAUUUGCAAGCUUCUGGUAGGUUAGUUGCCAAUGUUUAAGUAAAUUGGCACACCAGUGAAUUUAUUCUAAUGCAACACUUGCUUGUGGUGACAUCAUGAAAAAAAAAAUCUAAAAACCAGGAAGAGAACUGUGGACCUCCACAAAUCUGGUUUAUCCUUGUGUAUCAUCUGCAUGUUCCUCAAAGUGGGAAUUCAUCAACAAACAUAAGUACCUACGGAUCAACCUGAUGGGAAUGUCCAGCUGUAUUUUGUGUCCUUAACAUGAACGAAUCAUUGUGCAAGGUGUGCAAAUCAAUCCCAGAAAAUCAGUAAAAGAUUUUAAGAUGCCUGCUGGUAAAACAAUGUCAUGGGCUGAAUAUCAACAGGAAGAGAUUAGACUUUGCCAAAGCAUUCAGAGAUAAAAAAAAAAUUAAAAAAAAUUACUCUUUUGAUAUUUUACAUUUGGAGGAACAAGAAGGAAGCUUGCAAACCUGAGAACAUAUUCCCAAAUGUUUUGGGGGGGUGUUUUGCUACUGGUUGGACUGGUGAGCUUCACAAAACAGACAGUAUAAUGAGAAAAGAACAUUAUAUAAUGGAUGUCAAGGCAUCAUCUAGGAAGUUAAUGCCUUUCAAAAUGGAAUGACACAAAGUGAAGUUUUUCUUUUCAAGGCAGACAGUAGUAUAAGACUUACUCAAAUAAAGAAACAGUUUUUUAGCUACUUUUUGUCAUUUUCUACAGCUAAAAACAGGUAAAAUAAGGAGAUACUUAACCAGCUAAAAUAGCUGUUUAUUUUAGCUGUUUGCUAAAGUAGCUAAAAUAUUUAAUCAGCUAAAACAGCUUUGCUAGAGUAGCUAAAAUAAAGAGUUAUUUGACCAGCUAAAAUAGCUGUAUGCUAAAGUAACUAAAACAAGUAGCUAGGUAACCAGCUACUUUAGGUGGUCAAAUAGCUAUUUUUAGCUGUAGCUAUUUAGCUGUAGCUUUAAAGCUAAUAUUUGCUAUUUUAGCUGUUUUUAGCUAUAUGGAAUAUAACAAAAAUGGAAAUAAAAUUAACCCAAGAAUGAUCUGUAUUUGUAUCCCUCCAUUUUCAUUCUCACUCCAACAUUUGUUCGAUUGUGCCACUGAGCUGCUGCAGCAAUUGGAUGGUAAAAUACCUGUGACUCUGCCAGCCUGUCGGCUUCCUGCUGGGGUGUGAAAAGGUAAUACAUGCGACGCCUUUCCUCAGAAAUACCACAGUACUUCACACUAUCAUACUGCACAGCAUUUGAAAACCAAGGAAGACCACUGGCCAAGUGUUUUAGCACCCCAUUAGAGAGGAAGAAACGAUUGGCGACUCUCCCUGACGACGCCACCGUAAGGUGACUCGUCUGUGUAGUUCCCAUGUUGACAGAUAUCCAGAGAGCUGGGAGUAAAAAGAAGUAAAUGCGAUACACUUAUUUCCCACUAGAAUCACAUCUGCCAGAGGAAAUCAUCAGCGGUUUUGACAAAUGAGCACUUUACUGUAUAAUACACUGAAUGCUUAUAGGGUUCAAGUGUUUUUGCAAAUACAGCUGAAGCCAGAUAUUUACAUUCACAAUAUAAAAAAGAUACAUUUGUCCCCUCACUCUCUGACCUUAGAUCUCAUGAAAACUUUCAUGUUUUAGACCAGUUAUUAUUAUCAAAAUGAUUUGUAUUUGCCACAUCUCUGAAUAAUGAGAGCAGGGAUAUUUUAUACAGAAGCUUACAUACUAAAUAUUUGGUAGAAUUUCCUGUAAAACGUUAUGACUAUAGUGUCACACACUAGGUACAUUUGUUGUUUGUUGUAAUCCAGCAUAACGUUGUUUGUACAGAUGAAUGCAGGAUGCUCAGGCAUUGUGAAAUUGGACUGAUGGGUGAAUCUAAUUCAUGCAGCUCCAAACUUCUCUUCCCAAAAUCGUAGCAAUUUUUUUUACUUUGAUUUUUCAUGAUUUCACAGCAGGAAGCAAUGCGUUUUCAUGUACUGAAGAUGCUGCAGGCAAAUGUCCAGAUUAUAAUAAUAUUAAUGUAAGUAGACUUCUAAAUUCAAGUCAAAAAAUUCAAUCAUACUUUUCAAAAAUCACUCUUUUGAUGUUCUGGAAUUUCUGCAAAUAGAAAUAAUUUUGGAAAUAGGCCUUCCUUCCCAAACCCAAACACAAAAGAAUACAUUUUUGACCAUUUGCUGACCCUUUGCGAGACAAAAAAAAAGAAUAAUCCUUUUUAAUGAUCGGCGUGUAAUCGGAGAACUUUGAAACAACAGUAAAAACAUCUUGUUCAACUUGUA